GGUUGCGAUCGUACCAGCACUAAUGCACCGGUUCCCAUCAGAACUCCGCAGUUAAGCGUGCCUUGGGCGAGAGGUAGUACUAGGAUGGGUGACCCCCUGGGAAGUCCUCGUGUUGCAACCCC
rnacentral:rRNA from 1 species